GUGAAUCAUCAAAUCUUUGAACGCAAAUUGCACUCUCUGGUAUUCCGGAGAGUAUGCCUGUUUGAGGGUCAGUUGAAAUAAAAAUCGGUGUGGGUGCUGCCGUGCGUGGUGACGCACCGGGUUUGGGUCGGCUUGCCUUCGGUUAAGUGACGUAAAAUUUUGCAUGAUUUGUUUCGAACGUAGUGAAAUGAUUUUACGUACGUGUGCG
rnacentral:misc_RNA from 1 species